rnacentral:rRNA from 1 species
UACGUAGGGCGCAAGCGUUGUCCGGAAUUAUUGGGCGUAAAGAGCUCGUAGGCGGUUUGUCACGUCGGAUGUGAAAGCCCGGGGCUUAACCCCGGGUCUGCAUUCGAUACGGGCAGACUGGAGUGUGGUAGGGGAGAUCGGAAUUCCUGGUGUAGCGGUGAAAUGCGCAGAUAUCAGGAGGAACACCGAUGGCGAAGGCAGGUCUCUGGGCAUUAACUGACGCUGGGGAGCGAAAGCAUGGGGAGCGAACAGG